UCAUUCAACUGGUAAAUUAAAAGCACCUAC
rnacentral:piRNA from 1 species